CUUCUGCUUCUCUCUCAGACUCUUCUUCUGCUUCUGCUUCUCCUGAGAUCUUCAGCUCACUCCACAGAGCUUCACAUUGUUGAGGUGCGGACGGGCACCUGUGAGGUCGUGUCUUUACAUCGCUGCUGCAACAAGAACAAGAUCGAGGAGCGUUCGCAGACCGUCAAGUGCUCCUGCUUCCCAGGACAGGUGGCAGGAACAACCAGAGCCGCCCCGUCCUGCGUCGACGCUGCUAUCGUCCAGCAGAAGUGGUGGUGUCAGAUGCAGCCGUGUCUGGAUGGUGAAGAGUGUAAAGUUCUGCCGGAUCUGAAAGGAUGGAGCUGCGCCACCGGAAACAAGAUCAAGACCACCAAGAUCUCUCCAGACCGAGAUCAGCUGUGGUGACGGAUGGAGACUGGAGACGGUGCGACGCGCACAGAUGCUCCAGUGUCUCGUCUCUCCUCCUGGACCAGAGCAUCAGGGAGAACGGAGGAGCACACACACACGCACACACACACACACACACUGAAUUUUGACGUCUCCUCGUAUCAGACCAGCAGAUGUUGAUGUGUGUGUAAAGCAGUGCGUUCGCUCUUAAUAAACCAUCAUUGUCUUAAUCUGCUCCACCACUUCA